CGUAGAGCUUUAAUUUCAUUUUCUAGGGUUUGUUUGGCUGUCUCCAGGGCGUGUCGGGGAAGAUCGAGCCAACAACGAGAUCCGCAAUUUUCACUCGGUGAUGGAAUGCUUACGUUUUGCUAGGCAGAAGGCUCUGGAAGCGACGGAUCUUUCACUUAAUUCAUCUUGCGUUGCAGCGAACUAGUUCCAAGUGAAUUGAUAUUUGCAACCGCAAUGGGGAAUUUUCUGAUGCUCGAGUCUUCGCCUGCCUUCAUUUCAUUUCCUUUACAUUCCUUCAAUCCGAAUACAGCCUAAGAUCGCCGCCCAUUGUUUUAUAGUCCACCGGAAAGCCCUAAUAAAAGAUGUUGAUUCUUUCAUGGGCUUUGGAUGGAGAUAGAAUUCAUGUGGAGAGGAUGAUGGAGUGCGGUUGUGAGGAAGUGAGGAGAAGUUGAAGAAUGUUCUAGAAGUGGAAGCUUAAUCUCUAGUUUCACACAUGGUGAAGAAAACUAAUCCCGAGCAAAUCAUUCUCUGAUGUCUUCUAUUAUUCUGAAUCUGAUAUGGUAUUACGGAUUACUCGUGUCUAAUUUUAUUCUCCCCAAAUAAUUUUUACAUAUAGCAUCUUAGCAAAUUGUUCUUUUUGGUUCAACUGGAGAGGAGAGGUGGGAAAACUCUUCAUUGGAUAAGAUGGAAGCAGCGGGAAGAAAUUGAAGAAGGCUCUGGAAAUGCCAGCGUAAAGUCUAAAUCCACAUGUAAUGAAGGAAACUAGUUUCAAACUAUUGAUGCUCUAAGCUUAUACCACCUAAUUAGGGAUUAAUCUUGCUUUUUCAGUUCCUCCCUACUACUGCAUUUGUUCUAUUUCUCGCUUCCCCUCUUUUCCUAUCUACAUAUUCGAAAAACCUAAUAGACUAUUUGUUCACACUGAGGGCCUGUUUGGAUGCAGGAUUUUGGCCAAAUUUAGGCAAGAUUUGAGCAAAAUCCUUCCAAAUGCCAAAAAUACAAAGUUAAAAUCUCACGGUAAGUCUAAUCUCUACUUCAUGGUGUUUUCGCCAUUUAUGCCCUAAAUCCCGGAUUUCAUAAAUCCGACUUUUUUGCCGGAUUUCAUGAAUUUACAAAUUCGAUAAAGAAGCGUGUGAAGGGGAGAAAUAUUGUUACCUUCGCGGCGAGCUCCCGACGAGAUUUCCAAUCCGACCGAAACAACAUAUAUUAGGAGGCAGAGAAGCUUCGACUCUUUCAAAACCCUACUUCAUGCGAAGCAGAACAACAAUGAAUAAAUUCUGAAGAGGAAAAACAAACCCUAAAUAGGAAAUGACAAGCCACUCGUUCGAAGCUCUAACCCACGGAUCCAGUGAUAUUCCAGGGUUUAAGAUUUGUAAGAGGGAGAAAUUCUUAAAUCCAUUGGAAUCUUAUGAAUGGUGGGGGAGAUGUUGUAUUUAACCUAUAAUGAGAUUGAAAUGGAUUAAUCAAAACGUGAGGAAAAGCCAAUUGAUAUUCUCUGGAAGCAAUAACUUGAUCUUUGGUUACUUACUUAAUGAAGAAAACUAAUCAUAAGUGAAUCAUGCUCUGAGUGCAUACUGACAGUGCUGCCAUUUUUUAUAGUUUUCAAUAUGAUAUGGAAUCUUGGAUUUCUUCGGUUGCUUUGGCCUAAAGCUAUACUUCCCAACUAAUUUUUUUGUUUAAUAUCGGUUCUCUUAUCUUACCUAAGUGCCCAGUACCCAUUUUGACUCAACUCGAGGGGGAGUUGGCGAAUUCAUAUGAAGAGGAUGAUGGAUGUAAUGUUGUAAGGAGUAUUUCAAUUUAAGCUGAAGAGGGAAGAUCUGGUGGUCAUAGGUUGAUCUUGAGUUCCUCCUGUGAUGAUGGAAACUAAUGGCAAGCAAAUCAUGCUUACAGUGAGGUGUUCCUUACUUUUCAAUUUAAUAUGAAAUCAGUGAUUACAUUGGCUAAUCUAUUUGUUUGAUCAAUUCUCCGUCAAUAAAUCUAUAUUUAAUGAUUGUCUUUUUUAUCAUAAGAGUUUCACUUUUUUCUUUGCAAGCGAUGGGUUGGAGGGAGAAUUCAAGUGGAGUGGAUGAUGGGUGGUAGGCAUGAAAUAUUAAAAUUUUGGGGGUUAGAUAUGUAAAUAGUAUGAUAUAAAAUUGUAUGUAUGUAAAUCCCCCUUAAUAAAAUUUAUUAAUUUAUAUUUAAAGUAAGUUCUGCUUGUUUGGCUAGCAAAAAGCGCUUUGAUUUCAUUUCCUAGGGUUCGUUUGGAUGAUAUUUCUCUAGCGGGCUUUGAGAAGCCUGAGUCUGCAACAUGAGCCACAAUUUUCACUCGGUGAUGAAAGAGAAAGUUUAGCAAGGUAGAAUGCUUUGGAGUCGGAAAGAUUAAUCUGUGCAGAGUCCGGACGUAGAGUUACGCUGUGUACAAAAGUACACAGUGUACAUUUGUACACAGUAUAUACACUGUGUACACUCACAGUCCGACGUAACUUUAUGUCUGAACUCCGUACGUAAUAAUUCCUCCUGGAAUUGGUGCAUCUUUCCCCUACAUCUUGCUUUGCAGCAAACAAAUCCCAAGCGAAUUGAUGUUUGCAACCACAAUGGGGGAUUUUCUGCUGUUCAAGCUUACCCCUUCAUUUAAUUUCCUUCACAUUCCUUCACAUUCCUUCAAUCCAAAGAAAGCCUGAGAUUGCAGCACACUUUUUUAUAGUUUACAAGAACGCCUUAAUAAAGGGAAAUCAUUCUUUCGUGGAUUUUGGCAAAAUUGUAUCUUUGGUUUUUCGUUCUCUUGUUUACUCUUACUUUCCCAAAGGAAAGUGCUUUGCUGCUGGACUCAUCUUUCUACAAUAUGGAUACUUCUUUAGGGCUGUUUUUCGCUCACCGUAGUAUUACUAUUUCCUGAAAGCUAUACGGUUAACUGUACUUCACUCUAGAUAUGCUUGGAUUAUCUUAUAUAAUCUUGAGGGCCUGAAUUUUUCUCUCUUUCUGGUUCUGUUCUAUCUUACUUAGGAAAGACUAAAGCUAUACUCUCCAAAUAAAUCUGUAGUUAUAAACGUUGAGUGCCUGAGCUUGCCAAAUUGUCUUUUUGCAUCGCCUAGAGUUGGGUACAGAGGUGGAUUUUGGUAUGGAGAGGAUGAUGGAAGCAAUGUUAUUAGAAGGAAGUGAGGAAAAAGUAAAGGAGAGGCAAUCACUUAGUUUUCAAUAUGAUGUGGAAUCUAGGAUUACUUCCGCUGUUUGAAAACAAUAUUGCCUAAUAAUUUAUGUUUAAAGAUUUGUUUUCUCUUGUAUCUCAUCAAAUUAUCCUUUUUGGCUCAGCUUGGGGGUAGAGUGAGAAUUCAUAUGAAGAGGAUAAUGAGAGUCAGGUUGUAAGUAGUGUGUGAGUGAAUUCGUGUGGAGGGGAUGAUGGAGUGAGAUUGUGAUUGUGAGGAAGUGAGAAGUUGAAGGAGGCACUGGAAGUGGUAGCUUGAUUGCUGGUUUCACAUGUGAUGAUGAAAACUAAUCCCAAGCAAAUCGUGCUCUGAGAUCAUGCCUGCAAUGAUGACUUAUAUAGUUUUCAAUCUGAUAUGGAAUCAGCGAUGACUCCACUCCUUUUGGUGUCUCCCGAAACUCAUUUACAUCUAAGAUCAUACCAAAUUAUUAUUUUUGGUUCAAUUGGAGAGGGGUGGUUAAAUAACUCAUAUUGGAGAAGAUGAUGGAAGCGACUAUGUAAGGUUGCAGAGGGGAGAAGCUGAACAAGGCUCUGGAAAGCUUAAUUUCUGAUUACCCGUGUAAUGAAGAACACUAGUUGGAGCCUAAAGACGCUCUAAGCUUAUACCACGGAAACCUUCUUUAUAUUUUUCCAUCUAAUAUGGAAUUAGGGAUUCAUCUUUGCUGUUUGAGCAUCUCCCUGUCACUCGCUCUACUUUGCUUCUACUUUUCCCUUAUCUUCAUAUGUGAAAAAUCUAGUGGACUUUUUGUUGACUCUUAAGAUUCAUGUGCCUGGAUAAAAAUUAAAAUUCAGUAGUGGUAAGUUUGUUUUUUAAAAGUUUCUAAUUAUAAACUCAAUUCAUCAUGUCAGGUUGGAAGUAGUUUCAUUAUGAAUUUCAAACUAUUAUUUUCUUGAUGUUAAUUUUAAUAUGUUUGAUUGUGCUUUCAUUUACCGCAUUUUGUGUGGAAUUGAAUAUCUCAUAUUUGACAUAUUUUUAAAGCUAUAAAUUAUUGUUGAUUUUAAAUUAAAUCUAGCCAAAGUUUGAGAGCUUGCAAUUUUCAUCAACAACAACAUCAAGCUUUAUCUUACUACCUGGGGUCAUAAUUUUUCUCCAACAACAACAUCAAGCAAUUUUAAUCAUAUUGUGAAAUAUAUUUUUGGUUUACGGACAAAUAAAUGAGUUUUUUUUUUUUCAAAAUACCGAUUUAUCAGAUUUCAAUAUCAUUGAUGCUUAAGUUAUAUGUUAUAACUUUGCAUGUGAAGGGGAAAAUUGUUUGAGAAUUUUGGUUAUAAUAUUUUUGUUUGGUUACAAGUAGGGCUUAACUCAAGUAGGAUUUAAUUAAUCAUGCAAAUCCAGAGUAUGUAAAUCUUUAGAGGAUAAAAUCUUGGAAAUUGCUUGGCAUGCUGAUUGUUAGUUCUUUGUUAAAACUUGAUACACUUUUUCAAAGAAUUGAUGUUUUAAAUCUUGGAUUACUUCUGUUGCUUGGGCCUAAAGCUAUAUUUCCAAAGAAUUGAUGUUUUAAUUUUUGUUCUAUUAUCUUACCAAAUUGCCCAUUUCUGCUCUCUUCUUGAGGGGAAGAUGGUGAAUUUAUAUGGAAAGGAUGAUGGAAGUAAGGUUGUAAGAAGUAGGUAAGGUUAAGCCGAAGAGGAAGGAUCUGAAAGUCACAGGUAGGUCUUGAAUUCCUCAUGUGAUAAUGAAAACUAAUAGCAAGCAAAUCAUGCUCUGAGAUUAUGCUUACAGUUAUUUGUUCCUUAGAGCAUUCAAUAUAAUAUGGAAUUGGUGAUUGCAUUGGCUACUUGCUUUGUUUGAUCAAUACUCUUUCAAUAAAUAUACAUUUAAGGAUUAUGAUUUUUUUCAUACCAGAUCCACAUUUUCCUUUGCGAGAGGCAGACAGGGUGGAGGGAGAAUUCAUGUGGAGAGGAUGAUCGAGUGCGGCUGUGAUGAAGUGAUGCAUAGUUGAAGAAGGUGGUGGAUUCUUUCCCCAAGGAGUUCUUGGAGUUGUGCUUGGCCAUGAUCACCGGAUCGUCGAUGAGGAGUUGUCGACCCUCUUGUCCGGUGUCACUCCUGUUCCUCUUGCCUAAUGCUAUCUCAUGUUUUAUCAAAUUGCUCAUAUAUAUAUAUU